GAGUGUGUAGUUCAGUUGGAAUAGAAUAAUCGGCUACGAACCGAUCGGUCGGGGGUUCAAGUCCCUCCACACUCA
rnacentral:tRNA from 1 species